rnacentral:rRNA from 2 species
CCCCUUGAAGACGACGAGGUAGAUAGGUUGGGGGUGGAAGUGCAGUAAUGCAUGGAGCUGACCAAUACUAAUCGGUCGAGGGCUUAUCCUA